ensembl:snRNA U5 U5 spliceosomal RNA
AAACUCUGGUUUUUCUUCAAAUCGUAUAACUCUUUCGCCUUUUACUGAAGAGUCCCAUGGAGAGGAACAAGUACGAGCUCUCAACUAACUUUUGGAAGCCUUGCAAACCAGGACU